CCUACGGGAGGCAGCAGUAAGGAAUAUUGCGCAAUGGGCGAAAGCCUGACGCAGCGACGCCGCGUGGGGGAUGAAGGUCUUCGGAUUGUAAACCCCUUUCGGGAGGGAAGAUGGAGCGAGCAAUCGUUCGGACGGUACCUCCAGAAGCAGCCACGGCCAACUUCGUGCCAGCAGCCGCGGUAAUACGAAGGUGGCAAGCGUUGUUCGGAUUCACUGGGCGUACAGGGUGUGUAGGCGGUUUGGUAAGCCUUCUGUUAAAGCUUCGGGCCCAACCCGGAAAGCGCAGAGGGUACUGCCAGGCUAGAGGGUGGGAGAGGAGCGCGGAAUUCCCGGUGUAGCGGUGAAAUGCGUAGAGAUCGGGAGGAAGGCCGGUGGCGAAGGCGGCGCUCUGGAACAUACCUGACGCUGAGACACGAAAGCGUGGGGAGCAAACAGGAUUAGAUACCCUGGUAGUCCACGCCCUAAACUAUGGAUACUAAGUGUCGGCGGGUUACCGCCGGUGCCGCAGCUAACGCAUUAAGUUUCCCGCCUGG
rnacentral:rRNA from 1 species